rnacentral:rRNA from 1 species
GACGAACGCUGGCGGCGUGCUUAACACAUGCAAGUCGAACGGAAAGGCCCUGCUUUUGUGGGGUGCUCGAGUGGCGAACGGGUGAGUAACACGUGAGUAACCUGCCCUUGACUUUGGGAUAACUUCAGGAGACUGGGGCUAAUACCGGAUAGGAGCUCCUGCUGCAUGGUGGGGGUUGGAAAGUUUCGGCGGUUGGGGAUGGACUCGCGGCUUAUCAGCUUGUUGGUGGGGUAGUGGCUUACCAAGGCUUUGACGGGUAGCCGACCUGAGAAAGUGACCGGCCACAUUGGGACUGAGAUACGGCCCAGACUCAUACGGGAGGCAGCAGUGGGGAAUAUGGCACAAUGAGCGGGAGCCUGAUGCAGCAACGCCACGUGCGGGAUGACGGCCUGCGGGUUGUAAACCGCUUUCGCCUGUGACGAAGAGUGUGUGACGGUAAUGGGUAAAGAAGCACCGGCUAACUACGUG